rnacentral:rRNA from 1 species
CCCAAGUUACCGGCCUCACUGGGGGAUUAGUGGCGAACGGGUGAGUAACACGUGAGUAACCUGCCCUUGACUCUGGUAGAGCCUGGGAAACUGGGUCUAAUACCGGAUAUGACUCCUCAUCGCAUGGUGGGGGGUGGAAAGCUUUUGUGGUUUUGGAUGGACUCGCGGCCUAUCAGCUUGUUGGUGGGGUAAUGGCCUACCAAGGCGACGACGGGUAGCCGGCCUGAGAGGGUGACCGGCCACACUGGGACUGAGACACGGCCCAGACUCCUACGGGAGGCAGCAGUGGGGAAUAUUGCACAAUGGGCGAAAGCCUGAUGCAGCGACGCCGCGUGAGGGAUGACGGCCUUCGGGUUGUAAACCUCUUUCAGUAGGGAAGAAGCCGUAAGGUGACGGUACCUGCAGAAGAAGCGCCGGCUAACUACGUGCCAGCAGCCGCGGUAAUACGUAGGGCGCAAGCGUUAUCCGGAAUUAUUGGGCGUAAAGAGCUCGUAGGCGGUUUGUCGCGUCUGCUGUGAAAGACCGGGGCUCAACUCCGGUUCUGCAGUGGGUACGGGCAGACUAGAGUGCAGUAGGGGAGACUGGAAUUCCUGGUGUAGCGGUGAAAUGCGCAGAUAUCAGGAGGAACACCGAUGGCGAAGGCAGGUCUCUGGGCUGUAACUGACGCUGAGGAGCGAAAGCAUGGGGAGCGAACAGGAUUAGAUACCCUGGUAGUCCAUGCCGUAAACGUUGGGCACUAGGUGUGGGGGACAUUCCACGUUUUCCGCGCCGUAGCUAACGCAUUAAGUGCCCCGCCUGGGGAGUACGGCCGCAAGGCUAAAACUCAAAGGAAUUGACGGGGGCCCGCACAAGCGGCGGAGCAUGCGGAUUAAUUCGAUGCAACGCGAAGAACCUUACCAAGGCUUGACAUGAACCGGUAAUACCUGGAAACAGGUGCCCCGCUUGCGGUCGGUUUACAGGUGGUGCAUGGUUGUCGUCAGCUCGUGUCGUGAGAUGUUGGGUUAAGUCCCGCAACGAGCGCAACCCUCGUUCUAUGUUGCCAGCGGUUCGGCCGGGGACUCAUAGGAGACUGCCGGGGUCAACUCGGAGGAAGGUGGGGACGACGUCAAAUCAUCAUGCCCCUUAUGUCUUGGGCUUCACGCAUGCUACAAUGGCCGGUACAAAGGGUUGCGAUACUGUGAGGUGGAGCUAAUCCCAAAAAGCCGGUCUCAGUUCGGAUUGGGGUCUGCAACUCGACCCCAUGAAGUCGGAGUCGCUAGUAAUCGCAGAUCAGCAACAUCGUAGAUCCCA